CAGACAGCCCGGCAGACUGAAGUCCUCUAUUUAACUACAGAACAGAUUUAGCAUGGACAGUAGGAGUUUCAGCUUCCUCGCAUCAUACCACUGACAUGUCUCAGCCUCAGCAGGGAAGGGCCACCUUCAGAGGAAAGUACAGAACCUAUUUAAGCCUUUAGCUCUCUUUGUACUGGGAAGCC
rnacentral:sRNA from 1 species